rnacentral:lncRNA from 1 species
ACUCAUUAUGUCUUCAUUCUAUCACCCACUCACCGGUUAAGUAGCACUAGUCAAACUUGCUCUCCCAUCAAACAGUGUAUGAUUGCUGAAUUGUCUCUAUGUCAAGACCCUUCAACUUCACCACUGAUUCCACGUGACCUUUAAGUGUGUGCAGCUCACGUUGCCUGCAAUGAAAAAUGUAGCGUUCAAUUUCCAAGAAGUCACGAAAACUCAACAUGUGUUUAGCAGAAGAAAACUUAAGAGUAAAGAUAAAGUGAAGCAAGCAAUGGAUAUGUGAUGUUGCAGCAUGGCCAUAUGAAUGAAGGGAGAAGCGUGAAAUGCCCACAAAUGCAAGUUCAACUUCACAUUCAACUAGAAACAUAAGCGGAAUCCACUAUGCUUAUGUUGUCAAAAAAAAAAAAAAAAUUCAAAAUGACAAUCUUUACCUAGCGAUUUCAGCUCUCCUCUUUGCUUCCUCAGCUAACUGAUUAAGCUCAUUGAAAUUGGUAGAUUCACUAAACAAUUUGGUGUCAGGAACUUGCAGCCCAUGAAGGGUCCUCUGUGCGUGGGCCCAUUGAAGCUCACGUUGUUCUUUUCCGAAAUCCUUCUUCCUGGUGAAAGCAAUCUGUAAUACAAUGAAAAAACGUCACAUACCGUUGGAUGAAAAUAGCAUGAGAAUGAAUAUAUAUCAUAUAUGUAUAUCUAUACUGCAUAACAUACCCUUUGCUCAAGAACAAGAUCCCAGGCCCUUCCACUGAGAGCAUAUCUGAUUAAGAACUUGAUGAUAUCAAGCGGGAAGUAGAAUACUAAAUUGUAGAGCCAGAUCACUCCUGCCCAACCCCAGCCAAUUCCUUCGAUUGCAGCAAAGCUCCAACUUGCAUAAACAGCAAUCAAGGUGGCAACCUGUUUAAAAAUUAGCAACCAAACAUUAUAGAUUGAUGAAGCUGCGGAAAGUUUACCAGAAUGAAUGAGAAAAUGGCUUACCAGUUGAGCAAUCAGAAAAGCAACCACAAGCAACAAACCAGGACGCUCAACAAACGACCAACUUCGAGAUCUUGUGACAAAUAUCAGGGCCUGACUGAUAGUGCUCACUUGAAGGUAAAUUGCUGAUGCAAGUUUCCUGAAGUCAUCAGUUGCUGUCCUCUGAAGUGUUGAUACCCCAAAUACACGCUGGAAAAUCACCAAACUGAGUGAGAUUACAAACUAAGAACAGUUCAUAAUUAGCACAAGUUCAACAUCUAAACAAUCCAAACAUCAAAGUCAACAAUCAUUUAGUUUAAUAUACAGUUAGUCAUCAUAACAACACUAUUAUCAAAGUUCUGCUGUGAAAAUCCUCCAUCAUUUUUCAUAGAUAAAAGAUGACCAGUCUGCGGCCAAACAUUCUUUCAUUAGUUCUUAUUAUAUAAUACAUAACAGCUACAUCUCAAACUCCCUGUAUCUUUUUGUCCUAUGCUCACCGGGAAGAAAUCUGUCUCAUAUGCUGCCCAAAAGAAAAUGACUGUCAUCAUUGCCAAGUAGCCACCAAGAACAACCCCAGUAGUGAAAAUCUCAGCCAGCUUCCAACUAUCAGGCAGAGGAGAUGGUUUGACCCUAUCCUUUGAUAUUGUCAUAAUGGUACCUGAGAUUAUAACAUUAGAAGUGAGACGUAGAAAAGACACUGGAACAGCAAGAGAACUGUCUAAACACUGCAGUGGCAGAUCAUACUAAACUUUAUAGCAGAGCUUUUGAUGAAAUGAAAAAUGAUUUUGUACAUUUGAGGAGUAGCCUCUUAUUCCUAUUUCUCUUUGGUGCAUUCAUGGGGUUCCGAUUUGAAUUGAAGAUUUGAUGUCUUUUGUAGAAAAUCAUUUUUUUCUUUUGUAGGUUCUCUACUUUUCUUAUACCACAUGAAUGCAGGUGUUAUUCCCAACAAUAAUAAAUUACUAUCACAUAGUCACAGAAAAAGGUUAUUAAACCUUAAGGUCCUACACAUGGAACUUGAAAGGCAUGAUAACAGCUCCUGAUAACAUUUUUUAUCAAUCUACCUUAUGUUUUGAUAUAGCAAUAAUGACAAACAUACUGCAUCCUCUAAUUUUGCCACUAUUUUAUCAAUCAACAGAAAUAUCUUUUUCAGAUUUUGGUACACCCAUUAAGAAAACUACUCCCUCUGUUCACUUUACUUGUCCAUUUUGCACUUUGCAUGACCUUAAGAUAAUUAAUAAGAUUAUAUUACCACAGUACAAAUAUUACUUGAUGUAUAGUCUUAGGUAAAUUGGGGAAAUAAAUAAUUAAUGUUGAAGGUAAAAUAAGAGAAGAAUAAAUGUGUCUCUUAAUAUGUUAAAAGUGAUAAGUAAAAGUGAAAAACUACUUAUGGAAGAGUGGAUAAAUAAAAGUAAACAGAGGAAGUAGUUAAUAUCAUUAAUUAUAAGAGUUAUUGACUAAAUUACCCUUUCUCUUACCUAGUAAAUGUAAAUAAGCAUAGAAAGACGUUUAGAAAGAUGUAGGGAUCAUUUAUUACAGCAAGAGUAAAUUUUUUUUUUUUUUUUUUUUUUGAAAAGGUAACUUACAGCAAGAGUAAAUUUGAAAAAUAAUUAAUCUCUUGCUUUCUUAAAUGACACUUAUUUUGGACCAAAUUUGUAAGGCAAGAGAAGUAUUUUGAACCGGAUGGGGGUAAUAAUUAAUUGUUUAAGUGUUUCACAUGUUAGUACGUCUAGUUUAGGUCCUAUACUCUCUAUGAUCUUUUAUUCAUGUCAGAGAUUUAUAAGCCAUUAGAAAAUAUAGAGAACUUCUAGCCCUUUUUUAUUUUAAUUUUGUAUAAUAAUACAAGCAUGUUUCAUUUCAAUACUCUCAAAUUUUAUCUUAAAAGACAAUUAGGGGUCUUUUAAAAUGACGGAAUGUUUAAACUAAACAUUGUCUAUGUUACUAUUAGUGAAAAGGACCAACCAUCAUUGAGGAUUGCAAUGAUAAGCACCAUGAAAGGUGGAAAGUCAAACUUCCAGAUAAGGGCCAGAAGCAUAAAACCAAGCUGUAACAUAAAUAGAAGAAGAAUGUCAAAAUAUCAUUUAAGAAUCAUAAAAAUUAAAGAGAAAAGAAGCAGCAGCCGAAAAACAUACCACAAUACGGAUUGUGAUGGAAACAGCAUAUAUCUGCCGAUGCAAAAAAAAAAAAGACAGAUAAAUUAUCGAUAUCGUACAUCAGAGACAGAUUGUAAGUGCAUUAAGCUCAUUCAGGAAUGCACUACCCUCAAAAUAGCAGAUGCUAAGAUAUACCAAAAAAUUAGGAUGUAUAAGGAUCUAAAUAUACGCCUCUAGUAGAACCAACAAGACAAAUAUAUACCGUGUAGUUUUUCAUCCUUUGAAAGAUUGCUCGACUAGUCAGAACAGCACUAAUGAUGACACUGAGACCAGGUUCGGUAAGAACAAUGUCAGAAGCACUACGAGCAGCAUCAGUGGCAUCAUCAACAGCUAUCCCAAUAUCAGCCUUCUUUAAAGCAGGAGCGUCAUUGACUCCAUCUCCAGUCAUUCCACAGAUAUGCUUCCUAGCUUGCAAUCGUUUUACUAUCUCAUAUUUGUGCUCUAUGGCAAUGAGCAAGACAAGGUAUCAGUAAAGACGAACAUUCCAAUAAACAAGUACCCUAUUGAAUACCCAAAACUAGAGAAGUAAAAGAAUUUUCUGAGAGAGAUAUAUACCAGGGAAUACUCCAGCAAAACCAUCAGCCUUUUCUAUCAGUUCAUCAAUUGGUAAAGAAGCAAUUGAUUCAUCCUUAGUCUGCCCCAACAGAGCAGACGAAGGAUACAUGUUGGUUCCCAUUCCCAGACGACGCCCUGUUUCUUUUCCUAUAGCCAGUUGAUCCCCUGCCAAAAGAACAGGCACAUAAACAUGUCAAAACUUCGAUGUAGCAAAAAACGCACGACCAGUAAGAUGACACACGUCCAAAUUACGUCUGAGCUUUUUACAGCAAAAAGAAAUAUCUUGGUAAAACACAAGUUGGCAGACACAAAGUAAUAGUCUUUAAAAUUCAAUUGUGAAAACUUGAAAUCCUUAUCAACACAAUGAAUGAAAUGCCAAGCGACGGGCAUAGACAUCACUCUCAAGCCAAUAAGACCGGGGAGGUGCCUCUAAAAUGAACCAUAAUCCAGUCCAACUAUCAUAUUGUCCUCACCAAAAAUAAUAAAACAAAAAGGAACAGCCCCAUUAAGAAUUUGGAACGAAUCAAAAGUAGUCUUUGAUGCAACAGCCAGCAAGCUCAGAGUACAAAGAAUUAGUAGCAGACUGCAUUACCAUCUCAAGUUGGUGAUAAUUUUGGAAACCUCUAUUCAGUGGAUACAUUUUUCCUUCCUCUCUUCCUUUUAUCAAGGGGUUGGGUAGCCAUUACUACCAAGUUGCCAAUAUAGCAUGCAGUCUAUUUGCCAACAAUAUUUCAAUACAUUGAUCAUAAAAAAUAAAAAAUUAGAAAUACCUGUGAUCAUUUUAACAUUCACUCCAAGAUUCAAAGCCCUCCUUAUAGUCUCAGCACUGUCAUGUCUUGGAGGAUCAAACAAAGGCAGGAGACCAAUGAAUUGCCAUGGUCCUCCGGAACUCUCCUUCCUUCCCUCUGGAACUUCCUGCAUGGAAAGUUAGGGUGUAUGUGAUUAAGCAAAAUAAAGCCUCUAUUUUUUUGACACAAUGAUUGAACUUGGAGACAGAAAUACUUAAUCCCUCCUCUCCACUAUAAUAGUAUUAGGUUAUAUGCUUAAGCUGCAAGAUAAUUGAUUCAUUCAAUUUAUAUGUGACAUGAUGAGUUCCACAGAAAAUAAAAGGAAAGCAAAAUACCUGGUAUGCCACACCAAGUGAGCGCAAGCCCCUCUCAGCAAACUUAUCAAUCACUGCAUGAACUCUACGUUCUAUGUCUGACUUGUUGUGUGCAAGAUUUAGGAUCUAAUCCACAUUGCAGGGAUUGGUUAGAAAAUGCAAUCAUGGAAAGUAAAAGCAAGCAAAGAAGGACUACUUAGAUGAUUACAGUCAUACCUGCUCUGGUGCCCCUUUGCUGACCCUGUGCAUUUUUCCUUCACCAUCAAGAUAAGUAAGUGCUGUUCGCUUGUCAGUUGGAUUGAAAGGAAGAAAGUGUAUUUCACGAAUGCCAGCACGAGCCUGCAUUAAUGGCAGCAUUAGUACCUAAUGCAGUUCUAUAGCUAAAAUGGAUGCACUAAUCACACAGUCGUGCAAUUCUAAAGUUACCUCCUUCGGGUCAGACAACAUCCCAACAAUAGCAGUAUCAAUGGCAUCCUGGUUCUCUGUACGAGACGCUCGAGCUGCCAUCAGAACGACAGUAUCUGCAUCAACACCUUUGGCAAAAACCUGAAAAUUUAGCAGGAACGAACAAAAGACAAUCAGAGUCUGUGUGGAAUAAGGAAUAAGGAAUGAGACUGAACUCUUAUUCUCACCUCAACAAGGUUUUUGUCAACAGUAAGCUUGUUUAGUGUAAGGGUCCCUGUCUUGUCACUACAAAGCACGUCCAUACCAGCCAUCUCCUCAAUAGCUGUCAUUCUUUUCGUAAUAGCACCCUGAAUAGUUAAAAUGUUGAAAUAUGCAAUCACUUAUCAGAACUGCCGAAAUACGAUAACUCACGAUUGAAGACAUGCUGAACCACUAUAUCCUAAGAUCAUGAUGCUAACUAACAAACCUGCUGAGCGAGCCGAUGAGAACCAAUUGCCAUUGUGACUGAAAGAACCGUUGGCAUGGCAAUUGGAAUUCCACCAAUGAGAAGGACAAGAAGAUUGUCAAUCCCAGGGCGAUAUUUGCGGUGUUGGAUAGGGUACAUCACAAUGAUCUCUAUUAUCAUCCCCACUGCAAUAGAACAGAUGCAGAAGUUUCCAAUAGCAGUCAAAACCUGAUAGAGACAUCAACAACAUAGAAUGUGAGAUUCAGAAGAAUGAGAUUAUCAACUAAUAUUCAAAACAAUUAAGACAAUACAAGUUCAACUCGCCUUUUGGAAGUGUCCCACUUGGUUUGUACUGUCAACAAGGUGUGCAGCCUUCCCAAAAAAGGUAUGAACCCCAGUGGCGAUGACGACAGCUUCUAUCUCUCCCUGCUUACAGGUGGAACCAGAGUAGACACCAUCUCCAGGACCUUUU